UCCUAAAACACACACAAGAAAGCCCCGUUAUAUCUGGUGGAGGUACCCGUGGUCAAUAUGUCAGUAACCGGAGUUAUGAUGUGUCUGAAAUCUGGACGAAUUACAAAGUUAUCAUGUGUUAUGGCGUGUGCCGAAAACAGAAGCAAUUUGGUCUUCCGUUCAAGAGAAACUAUAGGAUAACUGAAGUGAGAAAUGUAUGCCACGGAGAAUUGAGUUAGGAUGACUUUGUAUACAUAUUAAUGUAAGUGACUUGCUGUAAAUAUUUGUGAAACUUUUGUGUCAGUCAUUUUGUUUCCUUGGUUUUAUGGAAACGCAUUAUCCUCGAACUUUGAAGAACAAUUAGAAGAACGCCUGUGAGAAUUUUUGAUGAAUAGAAACUUGAGAUGACUCUGAGAUGUUACAACAGACUAGCAGUAACGUGUAUAUCGUAACUUUUGUGUUGGUAACAAUGUAUUAUAUGUAAAUGUAAAUAACAGAGUGGACUGGCGUAUCGUCGAUCCGAAACCGGCAAAGAACCGUUAUAAAUGACAAGUUCCUGAUGAAAGAUUCGAAGAAGUGGCUCCGCACGUUCAAACCGAAGAAGUCAUGUGGACAAUAUUUUCAUGUUUGUAAAUAACUUUAGUUUUCAUAAAUGUUUUUAUCCAUUCAGAAUGUUUUAUGCCUAGGUUUAGUUUUUUAUUGUAUAUUUUUUUGCAUUUUAUUUUGUAUUACACAUGUUUGAUUAAGCUAGUUUUUAAUCUCUUGUUAUUACGAGAGUGGGCGUAUUGGGUGUAGUUAAGUUAACCGAGAAGGGUUGCUUAUACUAGUUGGAGGUUCAUGGGAGUGUCCAUGUGAAGAUGAUUUACAGUGUUGGUAGUUCUAUGGUGAUACGGUCACAUAGAAGUGAAAAUUGCAGCUAAUGAGAUGCUGAUUUUCUGAAUUGGAUUGCCCAGAGAUAAUGAUUAGUUGAUUUUAAUUGAUGCUUUUAAUUAUUUAUCAUUUUGUUUACGCUUGGAUUAACGGUCAAAAUUCCGGAAAGACCUUACCAUAAUGUAUUUGAAUAGAUUAAUAAUUGUCAAACUUGUGUUAUAUAUUUUUAUGAUUUUUGUUUAGUGUCUCUUUUGUAGUUAUAAAUAUCAAGAGUUUGAAGUUGAAAGGAUAAUUGUUAAUUUAGAUUUUAAGAUUAAUCUUUUUGCAAGUUUUCCACAACUAUUCACGACGUAAAUUGAUAAAUUACAUGGUAUAGCAAUUAUCAUUAUUUUUUUUAUUAUUAGUUUAGAUUUUUUUCAGUAGUUUUAGUUAAA
rnacentral:lncRNA from 1 species